GGGGGGUAGAUUGAGCAGUUAGAGCAAGGGGUGAGAGAGGUUCGAAAGCUUGUUUCUGAUAAGAAGGAUCAAGAAGCUGCUAUGAUACAGGUGUUGAUUGGGAUGGAGCAAGAACAUAAGGUAACGGAAGAUGCACGGAGAGCUGCUGAGCAGGAUGCAGCAGCGCAGAGACAUGCUGCCCAAGUGCUUCAGGACAAAUAUGAGGAAGCUGUUGCUGGGCUUGCUGAGAUGGAGGAGAGGGCAGUAAUGGCAGAGUCAAUGUUGGAGGCGA